AUUCUGGUGGCCUAGUGGUUAGAGCGUCCGCCUCGGAUGCGGGAGGUCGUGGGUUCCAUCCCCGGCCGCGUUAUA